rnacentral:rRNA from 1 species
AAUGGGGGNCCUGANGCCGCCACCCCCGUGGAGGAAGAAGGCCUCCCNGAUUGUAACCNCCUGUUGUUGAGGAAGAUAAUGNCGGUCCNCACCAAGGAAGUGNCGNCUANCUNCGUNCCACCACCCCCGGUAAUNCGUAGGGGNCAACCGUUAUCCGGAUUUNCUGGGUGUAAAGGGACCGUAGACGGUUUUCAAGUCCUGAAGUGAAACCCCGGGGCCUUACCCCCGGGACCUGCCUUUGGAANCUGUAGGNNCUAGAGUGCAGGAGAGGUAAGUGGAAUUCCUAGUGUACCGGUGAAAUGCGUAGAUAUUAGGAGGACCCCCAGUGGCCGAAGGCGGCCUUACUGGACUGUANCUGACGUUGAGGCUCGAAAGCCGUGGGGACCAANCAGGAUUAGAUNCCCUGGUAGUCCCAAGGGCCGAAUUC